AGAGUUUGAUCCUGGCUCAGAACGAACGCUGGCGGCGUGCCUUACGCAUGCAAGUCGAACGCACAUCUUCGGGUGUGAGUGGCGGACGGGUGAGUAACACGUACGUGAUCUGUCCCGAACUGGGGGAUAACCGCCCGAAAGGGUGGCUAAUACCGCAUGUGGUCCCUGGGUUGCGGCCCGGGGAGUAAAGCUCAGGCGGUUCGGGAGGAGCGUGCGGCGGAUUAGCUAGUUGGUGGGGUAACGGCCUACCAAGGCGACGAUCCGUAGCUGGUCUGAGAGGACGGCCAGCCACACGGGGACUGAGACACGGCCCAGACUCCUACGGGAGGCAGCAGUGGGGAAUCUUGCGCAAUGGGCGAAAGCCUGACGCAGCAACGCCGCGUGGGGGAUGAAUGCCUUCGGGUUGUAAACCCCUUUCAGCAGGGACGAAAAUGACGGUACCUGCAGAAGAAGCCCCGGCCAACUACGUGCCAGCAGCCGCGGUAAUACGUAGGUGACAAGCGUUAUCCGGAAUUACUGGGCGUAAAGCGCACGCAGGCGGCCGAGUAAGUCUGACGUGAAAUCUCCCGGCUUAACCGGGAGCGGUCGUUGGAAACUACUUGGCUUGAGGCGAUGAGAGGGGUGUGGAAUUCCCGGUGUAGUGGUGGAAUGCGUAGAUAUCGGGAGGAACAUCAGUGGCGAAAGCGGCACCCUGGCAUUAGCCUGACGCUCAGGUGCGAAAGCGUGGGGAGCGAACGGGAUUAGAUACCCCGGUAGUCC
rnacentral:rRNA from 1 species